GGCCAGGUGGCGGAGUGGUAACACAUAUGAGAUGAAUAGCGCCUGCAAUGUUUACUCGCAAGGUCUCUGUUCGAUUCAGGGUCUGGCCU